rnacentral:rRNA from 1 species
GCGGUAGAGAUUCUUCGGAAUCUUGAGAGCGGCGUACGGGUGCGGAACACGUGUGCAACCUACCUUUAUCAGGGGGAUAGCCUUUCGAAAGGAAGAUUAAUACCCCAUAAUAUAUUGAAUGGCAUCAUUUAAUAUUGAAAACUCCGGUGGAUAGAGAUGGGCACGCGCAAGAUUAGAUAGUUGGUAGGGUAACGGCCUACCAAGUCAGUGAUCUUUAGGGGGCCUGAGAGGGUGAUCCCCCACACUGGUACUGAGACACGGACCAGACUCCUACGGGAGGCAGCAGUGAGGAAUAUUGGACAAUGGGUGAGAGCCUGAUCCAGCCAUCCCGCGUGAAGGACGACGGCCCUAUGGGUUGUAAACUUCUUUUGUAUAGGGAUAAACCUACUCUCGUGAGAGUAGCUGAAGGUACUAUACGAAUAAGCACCGGCUAACUCCGUGCCAGCAGCCGCGGUAAUACGGAGGGUGCAAGCGUUAUCCGGAUUUAUUGGGUUUAAAGGGUCCGUAGGCGGAUCUGUAAGUCAGUGGUGAAAUCUCAUAGCUUAACUAUGAAACUGCCAUUGAUACUGCAGGUCUUGAGUAAAGUAGAAGUGGCUGGAAUAAGUAGUGUAGCGGUGAAAUGCAUAGAUAUUACUUAGAACACCAAUUGCGAAGGCAGGUCACUAUGUUUUAACUGACGCUGAUGGACGAAAGCGUGGGGAGCGAACAGGAUUAGAUACCCUGGUAGUCCACGCCGUAAACGAUGCUAACUCGUUUUUGGGUUUUCGGAUUCAGAGACUAAGCGAAAGUGAUAAGUUAGCCACCUGGGGAGUACGUUCGCAAGAAUGAAACUCAAAGGAAUUGACGGGGGCCCGCACAAGCGGUGGAUUAUGUGGUUUAAUUCGAUGAUACGCGAGGAACCUUACCAAGGCUUAAAUGGGAAUUGACAGGUUUAGAAAUAGACUUUUCUUCGGACAAUUUUCAAGGUGCUGCAUGGUUGUCGUCAGCUCGUGCCGUGAGGUGUUAGGUUAAGUCCUGCAACGAGCGCAACCCCUGUCACUAGUUGCCAUCAUUCAGUUGGGGACUCUAGUGAGACUGCCUACGCAAGUAGAGAGGAAGGUGGGGAUGACGUCAAAUCAUCACGGCCCUUACGCCUUGGGCCACACACGUAAUACAAUGGCCAGUACAGAGGGCAGCUACCAGGCGACUGGAUGCGAAUCUCGAAAGCUGGUCUCAGUUCGGAUUGGAGUCUGCAACUCGACUCUAUGAAGCUGGAAUCGCUAGUAAUCGCAUAUCAGCCAUGAUGCGGUGAAUACGUUCCCGGGCCUUGUACACACCGCCCGUCAAGCCA